rnacentral:rRNA from 1 species
CCUACGGGUGGCAGCAGUGAGGAAUAUUGGUCAAUGGACGAGAGCCUGAACCAGCCAAGUAGCGUGAAGGAUGACUGCCCUAUGGGUUGUAAACUUCUUUUAUAAAGGAAUAAAACGAGGCACGUGUGCCUCUUUGCAUGUACUUUAUGAAUAAGGAUCGGCUAACUCCGUGCCAGCAGCCGCGGUAAUACGGAGGAUCCGAGCGUUAUCCGGAUUUAUUGGGUUUAAAGGGAGAGUAGAUGGGUUGUUAAGUCAGUUGUGAAAGUUUGCGGCUCAACCGUAAAAUUGCAAUUGAUACUGGCAGACUUGAGUACAGUUGAGGUAGGCGGAAUUCGUGGUGUAGCGGUGAAAUGCUUAGAUAUCACGAAGAACCCCGAUUGCGAAGGCAGCUUACUAAACUGUGACUGACAUUGAUGCUCGAAAGUGUGGGUAUCAAACAGGAUUAGAUACCCUAGUAGUC